GAACCUUUUCUAAGCAUCGUGUCAAGAGUUUCAGUGUAAUAAGAAUGGAGGUAAGAAACUGUGAAUGAAGCAGCUGACAGAAGAAGGAUGGAAGAGGCUAGAGAAACGUCUCCACCAGGAAUAUCUAAAUUCCUUCAGCUUGUUGGAGUCAGCUUUGGACUGCUGUGUAUAAUACAAUCAGCUCUCAACAUUUUUUUUUUGCAACAACAAGUUGGGCUUUCUAAAGUCUGUAAUGUCUCAGCCUGCAAUGUCACCUUGCUAUCAGAAGAUUACAUGAGAGCCAUGAUCUUAAAGGAAGAAAAACAUCUUAAAGAAAUACAUCAGCUGGUUCAAGAGAAAAAUCAAUUGUUUGCGAAGAACA